rnacentral:lncRNA from 1 species
UUGUUAUGACUUUUAAUUCUUUCCCAUACGCGUGCAUUGACCGUGGAUCACCAUAGGCGCGCGCUUCUUGGCCUCUUGAUCUGCCAGCUCAAUUAAUGAGCUUAGAUCAGACGUUCCACGCUUUUUUGUAUUUUUAUUUUCUGAUUUUAUUUUCUUAAUUUCCAAUUAUCUUCAAAAAUUAAUAUCUCUCUCAUUUUUUAUCCAAAAAAUAUGGGACCAAAUGCAUUAUUUCCCAAAUAAUUUCUAGUUUCUAUUUCUGAUUUUUAAUAUUUUUUAUUUUG